rnacentral:rRNA from 1 species
UACGUAUGGGGCAAGCGUUGUUCGGAAUUAUUGGGCGUAAAGGGCUCGCAGGUGGUUUGUUAAGUUGGUGGUUUAAUCUUUGGGCUCAACCCAAAGCCAGCCUCCAAAACUGACGAACUUGAGUACGAGAGGGGAUAGCGGAAUUCUCGGUGUAGCGGUGGAAUGCGUAGAUAUCGAGAGGAACACCAAUGGCGAAGGCAGCUAUCUGGAUCGUAACUGACACUCAUGAGCGAAAGUGCGGGGAGCAAACAGG